rnacentral:rRNA from 1 species
UUAGCCAUGAGGAAUAUUGGUCAAUAGCCUGACGGCUGAACCAGCAACUUAGAAGAAUGUAUAACGAAUAAAUCGUAUAAAAUUCUAGAUAGAAAACAGAUACUGACAACUAUUUAUCUAUUAGUCUUGACCAAAUUACGUGCCAGCAGUCGCGGCAAUACGCAGAAGACAAGUGUUAUUCAUCUUUAUUUGGUUUAAAGGGUACCUAGACGGGAAAUAAAGCCUUAGUUGGGACUAAUUUUCUAGAGUUUUAUGGGAGAAAGUCGAAUGUCAGGAGGAGAGAUUAAAUACUGUGAUACUAGACGGACGGACAACGGCGUAGGCAGCUUUCUAUGUAAAAACUGACGUUGAGGGACGAAGCCCUGGGUAGCAAGAAGGAUUAGAUACCCUAGUAGUCCAGGGAGACAAUGAUGAGUGCCAUAGGCUAGAUAAAUUAGUUUAUAAAUGAAAGUGUAAGCAUUCCACCUUGAGACUAACGCGGCAACGCCCAAAUUGAAAUCAUUAGACCGUUUCUGAAACCAGUAGUGGAGUAUGUUAUUUAAUUCGAUGAUCCGCGAAUAACCUUACCACCUUUUGAAUACUUUUUGUAAAAGCAGGAGUGCUUUUAUCACCACAAAUUGUACAAGUGCUGCACGGCUGUCUUUAGUUAAUGUCGUGAGACUUUGGUUAACCCCUUUAAUUAACGAAAACCCUUGUUUUAUUUGUUUAUAUAAAACAGUUCUCCGCUAUAUUGGAUAAGAUAACAGGGAUUAAGGCAAGUCAUCAUGCCUUAUAAACGGUGG